CGCCGAUCCCCUCCCUCAAACGCCGCCGCCCGUCGCUGCCGCCCCCGCCACCUCCCGUCGCGGGCAGGCGGGAGGAGCCCUGCCCGGCCAUGGCGACACCGCCGGCGGCCUCCUCCUCCCCCUCACCUUCUCUCCCUCUCCCAAGGGAGGGAAGGGAAUGGAAGGGAUUUGAUUGGAGCGGUGGAUCUGCGCCCUUGCCGUCUCUUCUUUUCUUCACCGAUUCCAGGAGGAGAUCGAAGUGGGAGGUAGACGAGCAGGAGCGCCGCGUCCGCGACAGCGAUGAGCGACGACCCAGGUUCUCCUCUCCCAUGGCAGGGGUCGGCGAGUGGCAACAGAUGCGGGACACCAACUGGUGGCUCAACGGACAGCGAGAGGCGGGACACCAACUGGGCGCGCCUCUCGCGGCCGACUUCCACGGCGGCGACGUCGUUUACCUUGGCGCCUGCUUCUUUCCGACUCAGCGAUCCCCGCGGGCACCGAUGGACGGCGACGGGCAGCACGUGCGGCCGCGGAGCCGCGCGCUCCUGGCCGACGACGAGGAUGACGGGACGUACGCCAGCGACGUGUACAGCGGCAACCUCGCCGCCACGGGCGGGUCUCGUGCUGGCCGGAUCUUGGGGCGGUAGCAGUACUUGGUGCAGCGCCGCCGCGGCGACUACGGCAGCGUCGGGGUCAUCGUCGUCCUCAUCCGCACAGGGAAGCUGGACUGGGAGGCUUGCUGCUUCCGGUCGGCAGACGAUGGCUAUGACGCUAUGCCCAGCACGACUGCUAACGCCAUCACGGCCGGCACCACUGGCACCAGCAGCCGUUCGGUGUGCUCUCCGGGAUGCUGCAGUCGAAGGGUCGAGCAGGAGCUAUGGAUGCCAGCAAACAAGCCUGUGUAGACGGCAAUGCAUCAAUCAAAUCGGAUGGAGAACAUCACACAACAGCCUUUCUCCAGGACAUAAAGAAAAUGGUGGCACUUUGGGUUUUGCAGACGCCGCCUCGCGUAGGACUACGAACAUGGGACGCUCGGUCGAGUUUUUCUUAACUCGUCAGGAUUCUCAUGCUGCAAAUUUAGUAACGGGGCAAAUUUUUGGGUGUCCUGAUGUGUUUGCGGAUUGAUGAAAAUUUGGCGAGGGAGAUCAUAAACCAUCGCUCGCUGCAGCACAUCAAUUGUUGAAUUCGUUUGAAGGAGCUGUCAAUUGUUGAAUUCGCUUGAAGGAGAUGGAGCUCGUUUGGCUGAAUUUGCUACUGAGUUGCCACAUUUUGAGGGCCUGCAAUUGAAGAAUACAACACUUGAGAUAACAAUUGAAGAGUACUAGAGUAAUAAUAACUACUGCAAGAGUGAUGUAUUUUCUUUUUGUUGGAGAUUUUCUGCAUCUUUUAUGGACGGUAACAUUUGAGAUAACAAUUUGAUGUGCUAACCAUCAAGAUCAACUUCGACAUGUUUGGUCUCUAAAAGUUACUAUUGACCAUCAUUGGUGCAUCCUAUAAGGGUAUAGUCAGUACUAUGAGUAACUUACCAGACAUUGACUGUAGAAGUUGCUAUCCAACUCUUGUGAAAUCUAACCAUGCUAUUCAUUUACGAUACCUAUACGUAUGUGGUACACAAUCUGAAAUAGUAGAAGGGGAAAAUAAAGCAUUAAUGUGGAGUAUGUUCCAAUGGAAAUCUUCAGGAACACCUUGAAGGUCUGAGUGCAAUUUUUCUUUAGUUCUCUGUGAGCUUAAAAAUGCAACUGAUGUGGCCCAUGCAACUGAAAUUAAAAACAUGGAGAAGAAUCAUAAAAGAUCUCGCUGAAAAUGCCCUCGUUCUGCACUUCGUAUGGACAGGCAGCGCCCUUUACCUUCGAAGUCUCGAAAAAUGGUCUGGGUGAUGCGGGUGCCUCAAUGCUUGAUGCCAUGUUCUGUAAGAGGCCAAGGCAAAAUGGAUAAGUCUGUAACUGGAACUCUGGAUAGUUGAUCCUCUGAAUGGCGAAAAAUUUAUCAAAGUUGCUGAGGUUCAGGGGUCUGAAAUUAAUCCAUUUGUGGAUAGUUUAACUAAAUGCCCAAAACCCACUUAGAGCUCCAAAGAGGUCUUGUUUUCUUGUACUAUGGAUUUAAGGUGAUUCUCAAGAGGAACAAGUCGCCAUGGACCGAUGAGAUCGAGAGACGGCUCCGCGGUUGCGUGGAGUGGUGGCUGAGAGGAGAGGCAACAACAACUCGUUGUCCGUGAUGGCCCGAGCAUUUGCGAGAGGGGAUGGAGCGGGGGUUGCAUCGUCACGGCCAGUUGCCGGAGUGGAUGGAGUGGUGGCCGCACGGACGCGCUCCUGGAGGUGCCGGUAUGCACCCUGAUUUUGAGCCUGGGAGGUUCCUUGCUCUGUCCUAUCCUCAAGGGUGUUCAUCUACUUUGGUAUCGUGCUCUGGAGUCAGGACGAUGCACUAAUGCAGCUAAUCAUGGAGUGUUUCGAUUGCCUGCUUACGGAAUCGCAAUGAGCACAAGUCUGCAACCUUGAAGGAAAACCCGUUGCAACUGAUGACAUAAUAUUACGUCGCAACAAGAAUGUAUAGAGCUGCAGAGCUCUGUGGAUCCUUCUCUUCACAAAAGGAAACAAGAGGUAAUGUAAACAAUAGAUUCUCUUGUGAAAUUGCGAUUCAGCCUUGGGGCGUGGAUGGCGAGAAGCGGAGGCGUGUGCCUAGAGUAGCGGACCAUGAUGGAUUGAUGAGUUGAUGUCACGUGACGUACUCACGUGGCGGCUGGUUAGGCUCCGGCGGCUGGAGCCAUCAUCGACCAUGAUGCCGUGCCAGGAGCACAAGGGCUAAGACGAGGACAUGUUGGUGCCGAUGAAAUAAGGUGCUGCCGGUUGAUGGGGGCCUAACCAUGAGUCUAACUGAAAGUGAACAGGAGCGAUGUGCAGAAAAAAAAUCUUAGCACAUAGGCUGAAUUUGUAUAGUACUUCGAAUUUAUUAGGCAGUACCCCCUCCAUUUGUAUAUCACUUCCGAAUACUAGUUCGGGUUAUUAGGCAGUACUAUUGAAUUUAAGGAUUGAUACUUGAAGAUUUUAAAAGGUUACUAAAUUUUGUACCAAGUCUACUGUUAUGUAUGGGAAGAACAUGCGCUAAAAUAUUGAUAAUGCAAAUGAAAGUGAUCGUUUGAUUAUUAAA